rnacentral:rRNA from 1 species
GUCUACGGCCAUGCCACCCUGAACGUGCCCGAUCUCGUCUGAUCUCAGAAGCUAAGGAGGGUUGAGCCUGGUUAGUACUUGGAUGGGAGACCACCUAGGAAUACCAGGUGCCGUAGGUA